GAUGAACGCUGGCGGCGUGCCUAAUACAUGCAAGUCGAGCGAACAGACGAGGAGCUUGCUCCUCUGACGUUAGCGGCGGACGGGUGAGUAACACGUGGAUAACCUACCUAUAAGACUGGGAUAACUUCGGGAAACCGGAGCUAAUACCGGAUAAUAUAUUGAACCGCAUGGUUCAAUAGUGAAAGACGGUUGUGCUGUCACUUAUAGAUGGAUCCGCGCCGCAUUAGCUAGUUGGUAAGGUAACGGCUUACCAAGGCAACGAGGCGUAGCCGACCUGAGAGAGUGAUCGGCCACCCUGGAGGGGAGCCGCGGUCAAGACUCCUACGGUAGGCACCAGUAGGGAAUCUUCGGCAGUGGGGGAAAACAUGACGGAGCAGGGCGAAGUGAGAGGUAACGGUCUUCGGAGCGUAAAGAUGGCUUUUUGGGGAUAAACAGAUGUGUAAGUAACUGUGCACGUCUUGACGGUACUUGAUAAAAAAGCAACGGCUAACUACGUG
rnacentral:rRNA from 1 species